UGGCGUGCUUAACACAUGCAAGUCGAGCGAGGGAGCACCUUCGGGUGUGAACUAGCGGCGGACGGGUGAGUAACACGUGGGCAACCUGCCUUACAGAGGGGGAUAGCCUUCCGAAAGGAAGAUUAAUACCGCAUAUUAUGAUUUUUCUGCAUGGGAAAGUCAUGAAAGGAGCAAUCCGCUGUAAGAUGGGCCCGCGGCGCAUUAGCUAGUUGGUGAGGUAAGGGCUCACCAAGGCGACGAUGCGUACCCGACCUGAGAGGGUGAUCGGCCACAUUGGGACUGACACACGGCCCAGACUCCUACGGGAGGCAGCAGUGGGGAAUAUUGCACAAUGGGGGAAACCCUGAUGCAGCAACGCCGCGUGAGUGAUGACGGCCUUCGGGUUGUAAAGCUCUGUCUUCACGGACGAUAAUGACGGUACCUGAGGAGGAAGCCACGGCUAACUACGUGCCAGCAGCCGCGGUAAUACGUAGGUGGCGAGCGUUAUCCGGAUUUACUGGGCGUAAAGGAUGCGUAGGUGGAAUUUUAAGUGGGAUGUGAAAUCCCCGGGCUCAACCUGGGAACUGCAUCUGAUACUGGCAAGCUUGAGUCUCGUAGAGGGGGGUAGAAUUCCAGGUGUAGCGGUGAAAUGCGUAGAGAUCUGGAGGAAUACCGGUGGCGAAGGCGGCCCCCUGGACGAAGACUGACGCUCAGGUGCGAAAGCGUGGGGAGCAAACAGGAUUAGAUACCCUGGUAGUACACGCCGUAAACGAUGUCGACUUGGAGGUUGUGCCCUUGAGGCGUGGCUUCCGGAGCUAACGCGUUAAGUCGACCGCCUGGGGAGUACGGCCGCAAGGUUAAAACUCAAAUGAAUUGACGGGGGCCCGCACAAGCGGUGGAGCAUGUGGUUUAAUUCGAUGCAACGCGAAGAACCUUACCUGGUCUUGACAUCCACGGAAGUUUUCAGAGAUGAGAAUGUGCCUUCGGGAACCGUGAGACAGGUGCUGCAUGGCUGUCGUCAGCUCGUGUUGUGAAAUGUUGGGUUAAGUCCCGCAACGAGCGCAACCCUUAUCUUUUGUUGCCAGCGGUCCGGCCGGGAACUCAAAGGAGACUGCCAGUGAUAAAUUGGAGGAAGGUGGGGAUGACGUCAAGUCAUCAUGGCCCUUACGACCAGGGCUACACACGUGCUACAAUGGCGCAUACAAAGAGAAGCGACCUCGCGAGAGCAAGCGGACCUCAUAAAGUGCGUCGUAGUCCGGAUUGGAGUCUGCAACUCGACUCCAUGAAGUCGGAAUCGCUAGUAAUCGUGGAUCAGAAUGCCACGGUGAAUACGUUCCCGGUCCUUGUACACACCGCCCGUCACACCAUGGGAGUGGGUUGCAAAAGAAGUAGGUAGCUUAACCUUCGGGAGGGCGCUUACCACUUUGUGAUUCAUGACUGGGGU
rnacentral:rRNA from 1 species